UUAAGUUCAGCGGGUAUCCCUACCUGAUCCGAGGCCAACCUUGUAAAAAUUCGUUCCGGGCAGCCGCCGUCCGGGCACCCAAGCGAGGGUUUUGCUACGCUUGGAGCCGAACGACGACGCCCACGAGUUUCGGGCCCGCCCGCAGGCGGGGCCCAUCACCAAGCGGGGCUUGAGGGUUGAAAUGACGCUCGGACAGGCGU
rnacentral:misc_RNA from 1 species